rnacentral:rRNA from 1 species
GACGAACGCUGGCGGCGUGCCUAAUACAUGCAAGUCGAGCGAAUCAAUAGGAGCUUGCUCCUGUUGGUUAGCGGCGGACGGGUGAGUAACACGUGGGCAACCUGCCUGUAAGACUGGGAUAACACCGGGAAACCGGUGCUAAUACCGGAUAAUCCUUUUCCUCUCAUGAGGGAAAGCUGAAAGUCGGUUUCGGCUGACACUUACAGAUGGGCCCGCGGCGCAUUAGCUAGUUGGUGAGGUAACGGCUCACCAAGGCGACGAUGCGUAGCCGACCUGAGAGGGUGAUCGGCCACACUGGGACUGAGACACGGCCCAGACUCCUACGGGAGGCAGCAGUAGGAAAUCUUCCACAAUGGACGAAAGUCUGAUGGAGCAACGCCGCGUGAGCGAUGAAGGCCUUCGGGUCGUAAAGCUCUGUUGUUAGGGAAGAACAAGUACCGGAGUAACUGCCGGUACCUUGACGGUACCUAACCAGAAAGCCACGGCUAACUACGUGCCAGCCGCCGCAGUAAUAC